rnacentral:rRNA from 1 species
UUUGCAGAGGAUGCUUCGGGAGCAGCCCCCAUCUAAGUGGCCUGGAACGGUCCGUCAUAGAGGGUGAAAAUCCCGUCUGGGAUGGGGUGUCUGCGCCCGUGUGAAGCUCCUUCGACGAGUCGAGUUGUUUGGGAAUGCAGCUCUAAAUGGGUGGUAAAUUUCAUCUAAAGCUAAAUACUGGCCGGAGACCGAUAGCGCACAAGUAGAGUGAUCGAAAGAUGAAAAGCACUUUGAAAAGAGAGUUAAAAAGCACGUGAAAUUGUUGAAAGGGAAGCGCUUGCGACCAGACUCGCCCACGGGGUUCAGCCGGCAUUCGUGCCGGUGUACUU